ensembl:piRNA 21ur-1432 ncRNA
UAGUCGAGAACGGAACUUCAA